rnacentral:misc_RNA from 1 species
GGAAGGAUCAUUAUUGAAAUAAACCUGAUGGGUUGUUGCUGGUUCUCUAGGGAGCAUGUGCAUGCCUUGUCACCUUUAUAUCUCCACCUGUGCACCUUUUGUAGACCUCUUCAGGUCUAUGUUGCUUCAUUUACACCAACGUAUGUCAAUAGAAUGUUGUGCCUAUAUAUAAUAUAUACAACUUUCAGCAACGGAUCUCUUGGCUCUCGCAUCGAUGAAGAACGCAGCGAAAUGCGAUAAGUAAUGUGAAUUGCAGAAUUCAGUGAAUCAUCGAAUCUUUGAACGCACCUUGCGCUCCUUGGUAUUCCGAGGAGCAUGCCUGUUUGAGUGUCAUUAAUAUAUAU